rnacentral:rRNA from 1 species
GACAGAGGUGCCAAGCGUUAGGCGGAAUCACUGGGCUUAAAGCGUGUGUAGGCGGACUUGUAAGUACCUUGUGAAAUCCCACGGCUCACCCGUGGAACUGCUGGGUAUACUGCGAGUCUUGAGCCACCUAGGGGCUGUCGGAACAGGCGGUGGAGCGGUGAAAUGCGUAGAUAUCGCCUGGAACGCCAAAGGUGAAAACAGACAGCUGGGAGUGUGCUGACGCUGAGACACGAAAGCCAGGGGAGCGAACGGG